UACGUAGGGGGCAAGCGUUGUCCGGAUUUAUUUGGGCGUAAAGAGCGUGUAGGCGGCCAUGCAGGUCCGUUGUGAAAACUCGAGGCUCAACCUCGAGACGUCGGUGGAAACCGCAUGGCUAGAGUCCGGAAGAGGAGAGUGGAAUUCCCGGUGUAGCGGUGAAAUGCGCAGAUGUCGGGAGGAACACCAGUGGCGAAGGCGGCACUCUGGGCCGGUACUGACGCUGAGGAGCGAAAGCGUGGGGAGCGAACAGG
rnacentral:rRNA from 1 species